rnacentral:rRNA from 1 species
AUACGUAGGGGGCGAGCGUUAUUCGGAAUUACUUUUCUUCCCUCUUGCGCAGGCGGUUGUGUAAGACAGACGUGAAAUCCCCGGGCUCAACCUGGGAACUGCGUUUGUGACUGCACGGCUAGAGUACGGCAGAGGGGGGUGGAAUUCCACGUGUAGCAGUGAAAUGCGUAGAGAUGUGGAGGAACACCGAUGGCGAAGGCAGCCCCCUGGGCCAGUACUGACGCUCAUGCACGAAAGCGUGGGGAGCAAACAGGAUUAGAUACCCUGGUAGUCCACGCCCUAAACGAUGUCAACUAGCUGUUGGUGGGGUUAAACCCAUGAGUAGCGUAGCUAACGCGUGAAGUUGACCGCCUGGGGAGUACGGCCGCAAGGUUAAA